UACGUAGGGGGGCGAGCGUUGUCCGGAUUUAUUGGGCGUAAAGAGCUCGUAGGCGGUUUGGUAAGUCGGGUGUGAAAUCUCCACGCUCAACGUGGAGGGGCCACUCGAUACUGCCAUGACUCGAGUCCGGUAGAGGAGUGUGGAAUUCCCGGUGUAGCGGUGAAAUGCGUAGAUAUCGGAAGGAACACCUGUGGCGAAAGUGGCUCACUGGACCACAACUGACGCUGAUGCACGAAAGCUAGGGGAGCAAACAGG
rnacentral:rRNA from 1 species